UUUGCAACAGGAAGGGGCAAAUGAACACAUAUUUUUUAUGAACCUUUAGGGAUUACUAUAAUAAAAAGGUAAUCAUCUUUAUUCAGGCAGAUUGACAAAGCAAAACAUACCAGCUGGGAAGGCUGUAGUCUUGUUAAUGGAGACCUGGGCCUCAGAAAUAGCCCUCAUCAUCAGCUUCUUGUUGGCUUGUUUGGCUGGGGGGGGCAAGGAGGGUCUAGAAACAGAGACAUGGCUCAAUACACAGAUAACACACUGGGGACACAAACAAUGGAGUGUACAAUUUAUGUGACAGACAAGGGAUGUUCAAAACAGGAUACAAGACCGUUUUUCUACUGUGGCAAGGCUUCCACUUUAACUAAAUGCCCCAAGGCUUCCACUCUAACUAAAUGUCCCAAGGCUUCCACUUUAACUAAAUGCCCCAAGGCUUCCACUUUAACUAAAUGUCCCAAGGCUUCCACUCGAACUAAAUGUCCCAAGGCUUCCACUCGAACUAAAUGUCCCAAGGCUUCCACUCGAACUAAAUGUCCCAAGGCUUCCACUCGAACUAAAUGUCCCAAGGCUUCCACUCGAACUAAAUGUCCCAAGGGAACUAAAUGUCCCAAGGCUUCCACUCAAACUAAAUGUCCCAAGGCUUCCACUCGAACUAAAUGUCCCAAGGCUUCCACUCGAACUAAAUGUCCCAAGGCUUCCACUCGAACUAAAUGUCCCAAGGCUUCCACUCGAACUAAAUGUCCCAAGGCUUCCACUUUAACUAAAUGUCCCAAGGCUUCCACUCUAACUAAAUGUCCCAAGGCUUCCACUCGAACUAAAUGUCCCAAGGCUUCCACUCGAACUAAAUGUCCCAAGGCUUCCACUCGAACUAAAUGUCCCAAGGCUUCCACUCGAACUAAAUGUCCCAAGGCUUCCACUCGAACUAAAUGUCCCAAGGCUUCCACUCUAACUAAAUGUCCCAAGGCUUCCACUCUAACUAAAUGUCCCAAGGCUUCCACUCUAACUAAAUGCCCCAAGUCUUCCACUCUAACUAAAUGUCCCAAGGCUUCCACUCUAACUAAAUGUCCCAAGGCUUCCACUCUAACUAAAUGUCCCAAGGCUUC
ensembl:lncRNA